AAAAUUGAAGGUACACACAAGUCUUUACUUUACGGUUUCUAAGUUUCGAUACAUACAAGUCCGCCGUGGUACUUCCUAUUUAUUUCACUCACCCUCAUCCUUCCGCCAUUCAACGCGACGUGGCGUUUAGGGUCUGCUUGAAACGACGACGUUUGUUCCUUCUUGUAUGUUCCUCUGAAAUCACAAACGGAGUUUUGUUAUUAAAGAAAAACCCUACGAUUGCUCCCUCAAUUUCUUGUUUGUUCUACCAAUUGCUGAAACCAGGUAA
rnacentral:lncRNA from 1 species